UACGUAGGGUGCGAGCGUUAUCCGGAAUUAUUGGGCGUAAAGAGCUCGUAGGCGGUUUGUCACGUCUGCUGUGAAAACUGGAGGCUCAACCUUCAGCCUGCAGUGGGUACGGGCAGACUAGAGUGCGGUAGGGGAGAUUGGAAUUCCUGGUGUAGCGGUGGAAUGCGCAGAUAUCAGGAAGAACACCCGUGGCUAAGGCGGCUCUCUAGUACGGUACUGACGCUGAGACGCGAAAGCGUGGGGAGCGAACAGG
rnacentral:rRNA from 1 species